GUGGGGAAUCUUAGACAAUGGGCGCAAGCCUGAUCUAGCCAUGCCGCGUGAGCGAUGAAGGCCUUAGGGUUGUAAAGCUCUUUCGUGGGGGAAGAUAAUGACUGUACCCCAAGAAGAAGCCCCGGCUAACUCCGUGCCAGCAGCCGCGGUAAUACGGAGGGGGCUAGCGUUGUUCGGAAUUACUGGGCGUAAAGCGCACGUAGGCGGACUGGAAAGUCAGGGGUGAAAUCCCGGGGCUCAACCCCGGAACUGCCUUUGAAACUCCCAGUCUUGAGUUCGAGAGAGGCGAGUGGAAUUCCGAGUGUAGAGGUGAAAUUCGUAGAUAUUCGGAGGAACACCAGUGGCGAAGGCGGCUCACUGGCUCGAUACUGACGCUGAGGUGCGAAAGCGUGGGGAGCAAACAGGAUUAGAUACCCCGGUAGUCC
rnacentral:rRNA from 1 species